GAUGAACGCUGGCGGCGUGCCUAAUACAUGCAAGUCGAGCGAAUGGAUUAAGAGCUUGCUCUUAUGAAGUUAGCGGCGGACGGGUGAGUAACACGUGGGUAACCUGCCCAUAAGACUGGGAUAACUCCGGGAAACCGGGGCUAAUACCGGAUAACAUUUUGAACCGCAUGGUUCGAAAUUGAAAGGCGGCUUCGGCUGUCACUUAUGGAUGGACCCGCGUCGCAUUAGCUAGUUGGUGAGGUAACGGCUCACCAAGGCAACGAUGCGUAGCCGACCUGAGCGGGUAGUCGGCCACACUGGGACUGAGACACGGCCCAGACUCCUACGGGAGGAAGCAGUAGGGAAUCUUCCGCAAUGGACGAAAGUCUGACGGAGCAACGCCGCGUGAUUGAUGAAGGCUUUCGGGUCGUAAAACUCUGUUGUUAGGGAAGAACAAGUGCUGGUUGAAUAAGCUGGCACCUUGACGGUACCUAACCAGAAAGCCACGGCUAACUACGUGCCAGCAGCCGCCGUAA
rnacentral:rRNA from 1 species